UCAAACCCACCGUAACACCGAGUUAGACCCCCCCUCCAGAGAUGAAUGUUGUCGACCGCUUCCUUCUCUAGUUAUACCAACUUUAGUAACGACCACAGGAUAGAAAUACAGAGAGCCACGCCCCCAACCAAAACGCCACUCUAUAGCCACAGAUAAUGCUCAGAACAGCACCUAACUUCAUCAACAGGACAUAUAGGGUCACAGACAUAGUACUAGACACCAAACAUCUUUUUAACUUUGACUCAUUUCUUUAGCAAAGAGACUAAACACAACUCACCUACUCUCUUCCAGCAGACGCUUGUUUGUAGUGAGACCUCAGGCCAGUCCAUUACGGACUACAGCGGGGUGCCGCAGCUCAAGGAAGAACAUUUAUGAUCAUUUCUUUAUCGUUUCCUUGAAGUAAUAAUCACCAUAUUAAUCAUUUUACAGACGCGGUAGUUCUUCUGUCUUAGUGUCUCGGUCUGAUUGUAUUUCCAUGAAGAAAUGAUCAUAAAUGUUCUUCCUUGAGCUGUGAAACCCCGUGAUGAACAUCCGUAAUGGACUGGCCUGAGGUCUCACUACAAACAAGCGUCUGCUGGAAGAGAGUAGGUGAG